rnacentral:rRNA from 1 species
CAGGGGGGGCAAGCGUUGUUCGGAAUUACUGGGCGUAAAGGGCCAGUAGGCGGCCAACUAAGUCCGACGUGAAAUCCCCAGGCUUAACCUGGGAACUGCGUCGGAUACUGGUUGGCUUGAAUUCGGGAGAGGGAUGCAGAAUUCCAGGUGUAGCGGUGAAAUGCGUAGAUAUCUGGAGGAAUACCGGUGGCGAAGGCGGCAUCCUGGACCGACAUUGACGCUGAACGGCGAAAGCUAGGGGAGCAAACGGGAUUAGAUACCCCGGUAGUCCUAGCCCUAAACGAUGAAUGCUUGGUGUGGCGGUAUCGAUCCCUGCCGUGCCGAAGCUAACGCAUUAAGCAUUCCGCCUGGGGAGUACGGUCGCAAGGCUAG